rnacentral:rRNA from 1 species
UAAUACAAGGCAUACGGCUCAGUAACGCGUAGUCAACCUACCCUAUGGACGGGGAUAAUCUCGGGAAACUGAGCAUAAUACCCGGCAGACCACUUAUCCUGGAAUGGUUAGUGGUUAAACUGAUUCGUCGCCAUAGGAUGGGACUGCGGCCUAUCAGCUUGUUGGUGAGGUAAUGGCCCACCAAGGCGAUUACAGGUACGGGCUCUGAGAGGAGAAGCCCGGAGAUGGGUACUGAGACACGGACCCAGGCCCUAUGGGGCGCAGCAGGCGAGAAAACUUUGCAACGUGCGAAAGCACGACAAGGUUAAUCCGAGUGAUUUCUGCUAAAGGAAUCUUUUGCCAGUUCUAAAAAUACUAGUGAAUAAGGGGUGGGCAAGUUCUGGUGUCAGCCGCCGCGGUAAAACCAGCACCUCAAGUGGUCAGGAGGAUUAUUGGGCCUAAAGCAUCCGUAGCCUGCUCUGUAAGUUUUCGGUUAAAUCUAUAUGCUCAACGUAUAGGCUGCCGAAAAUACUGCAGUGCUAGGAAGUGGGAGAGGUAGACGGUACUUGAUAGGAAGGGGUAAAUCCUUUGAUCUAUCGAUGACCACCUGUGGCGAAGGCGGUCUACCAGAACACGUUCGACGGUGAGGGAUGAAAGCUGGGGGA